rnacentral:rRNA from 1 species
AGUGAACGCUGGCGGUAGGCCUAACACAUGCAAGUCGAACGGCAGCACAGUAAGAGCUUGCUCUUACGGGUGGCGAGUGGCGGACGGGUAAGGAAUACAUCGGAAUCUACUUUUUCGUGGGGGAUAACGUAGGGAAACUUACGCUAAUACCGCAUACGACCUACGGGUGAAAGCAGGGGAUCUUCGGACCUUGCGCGAUUGAAUGAGCCGAUGUCGGAUUAGCUAGUUGGCGGGGUAAAGGCCCACCAAGGCGACGAUCCGUAGCUGGUCUGAGAGGAUGAUCAGCCACACUGGAACUGAGACACGGUCCAGACUCCUACGGGAGGCAGCAGUGGGGAAUAUUGGACAAUGGGCGCAAGCCUGAUCCAGCCAUACCGCGUGGGUGAAGAAGGCCUUCGGGUUGUAAAGCCCUUUUGUUGGGAAAGAAAAGCAGCAGGUUAAUACCCCGCUGUUCUGACGGUGCCCAAAGAAUAAGCACCGGCUAACUUCGUG